rnacentral:rRNA from 1 species
GGUCAGGACGAACGCUGGCGGCGUGCUUAACACAUGCAAGUCGAACGGAGAUACAUUGGAGGAGAGCUCGGCAGGAAUCUGGCGUAUCUUAGUGGCGGACGGGUGAGUAACGCGUGAGCAACCUGUCCCAGACAGGGGGAUAACACUUGGAAACAGGUGCUAAUACCGCAUAAGACCACGGUGUCACAUGGCACUGAGGUAAAAGGAGAAAUCCGGUUUGGGGUGGGCUCGCGUCCGAUUAGAUAGUUGGUGAGGUAACGGCCCACCAAGUCGACGAUCGGUAGCCGACCUGAGAGGGUGAUCGGCCACAUUGGAACUGAGAGACGGUCCAAACUCCUACGGGAGGCAGCAGUGGGGAAUAUUGGGCAAUGGGGCCGAAAGCCUGACCCAGCAACGCCGCGUGAGUGAAGAAGGCUUUCGGGUUGUAAAGCUCUGUUAUAGGGGACGAAGGAAGUGACGGUACCCUAUAAGGAAGCCCCGGCUAACUACGUGCCAGCCGCCGC